rnacentral:rRNA from 1 species
AGAGUUUGAUCAUGGCUCAGAUUGAACGCUGGCGGCAGGCCUAACACAUGCAAGUCGAACGGUAACAGGAAGCAGCUUGCUGCUUCGCUGACGAGUGGCGGACGGGUGAGUAAUGUCUGGGAAACUGCCUGAUGGAGGGGGAUAACUACUGGAAACGGUGGCUAAUACCGCAUAACGUCGCAAGACCAAAGAGGGGGACCUUCGGGCCUCUUGCCAUCAGAUGUGCCCAGAUGGGAUUAGCUUGUUGGUGAGGUAACGGCUCACCAAGGCGACGAUCCCUAGCUGGUCUGAGAGGAUGACCAGCCACACUGGAACUGAGACACGGUCCAGACUCCUACGGGAGGCAGCAGUGGGGAAUAUUGCACAAUGGGCGCAAGCCUGAUGCAGCCAUGCCGCGUGUAUGAAGAAGGCCUUCGGGUUGUAAAGUACUUUCAGCGGGGAGGAAGGUGUUGUGGUUAAUAACCACAGCAAUUGACGUUACCCGCAGAAGAAGCACCGGCUAACUCCGUGCCAGCAGCCGCGGUAAUACGGAGGGUGCAAGCGUUAAUCGGAAUUACUGGGCGUAAAGCGCACGCAGGCGGUCUGUCAAGUCGGAUGUGAAAUCCCCGGGCUCAACCUGGGAACUGCAUUCGAAACUGGCAGGCUUGAGUCUUGUAGAGGGGGGUAGAAUUCCAGGUGUAGCGGUGAAAUGCGUAGAGAUCUGGAGGAAUACCGGUGGCGAAGGCGGCCCCCUGGACAAAGACUGACGCUCAGGUGCGAAAGCGUGGGGAGCAAACAGGAUUAGAUACCCUGGUAGUCCACGCCGUAAACGAUGUCUACUUGGAGGUUGUGCCCUUGAGGCGUGGCUUCCGGAGCUAACGCGUUAAGUAGACCGCCUGGGGAGUACGGCCGCAAGGUUAAAACUCAAAUGAAUUGACGGGGGCCCGCACAAGCGGUGGAGCAUGUGGUUUAAUUCGAUGCAACGCGAAGAACCUUACCUGGUCUUGACAUCCACAGAACUUUCCAGAGAUGGAUUGGUGCCUUCGGGAACUGUGAGACAGGUGCUGCAUGGCUGUCGUCAGCUCGUGUUGUGAAAUGUUGGGUUAAGUCCCGCAACGAGCGCAACCCUUAUCCUUUGUUGCCAGCGGUCAGGCCGGGAACUCAAAGGAGACUGCCAGUGAUAAACUGGAGGAAGGUGGGGAUGACGUCAAGUCAUCAUGGCCCUUACGACCAGGGCUACACACGUGCUACAAUGGCGCAUACAAAGAGAAGCGACCUCGCGAGAGCAAGCGGACCUCAUAAAGUGCGUCGUAGUCCGGAUUGGAGUCUGCAACUCGACUCCAUGAAGUCGGAAUCGCUAGUAAUCGUGGAUCAGAAUGCCACGGUGAAUACGUUCCCGGGCCUUGUACACACCGCCCGUCACACCAUGGGAGUGGGUUGCAAAAGAAGUAGGUAGCUUAACCUUCGGGAGGGCGCUUACCACUUUGUGAUUCAUGACUGGGGUGAAGUCGUAACAAGGUAACCGUAGGGGAACCUGCGGUUG